CUGGAGGGCAUCCCACUGGCUCAGGUGGCUGCUGGAGGGGCUCACAGCUUUGCCCUGUCACUCUGUGGGACUUCGUUUGGCUGGGGAAACAACAAUGCUGGGCAGCUGGCCCUCAGUGGGAAUAAUGUCCCAGAGCAAAGCUAUAAGCCUCGUUCAAUUGGUGCACUGAAGAAUCUAGGUGUGAUUUACAUCAGUUGUGGUGAUGAGCAUACUGCAGUGCUUACUCAGGAUGGGUGAGUGUUUACAUUUGGAGACAACAGCUCUGGACAGUUAGGACACAGCACCACUGCCAAGGCAAGAGGCCCACAACUUGUGGAAAGAAUUGAUGGCUUGGUUUCACAGAUAGAUUGUGGAAGUUAUCACACCCUUGUGUAUGUCUACACCACUGGUCAGGUGGUAUCUUUUGGUUGUGGACCAGGU